AAGCAGGGGAUCGUAAGACCUUGCGCUUUUGGAGCGGCCGAUGCCUGAUUAGCUAGUUGGUGGGGUAAGGGCCUACCAAGGCGACGAUCAGUAGUUGGUCUGAGAGGACGACCAGCCACACUGGGACUGAGACACGGCCCAGACUCCUACGGGAGGCAGCAGUGGGGAAUUUUGGACAAUGGGCGAAAGCCUGAUCCAGCAAUGCCGCGUGAGUGAAGAAGGCCUUCGGGUUGUAAAGCUCUUUCAGUCGAGAAGAAAAGGUCGCGACUAAUAAUCGCGACUCAUGACGGUAUCGACAGAAGAAGCACCGGCUAACUACGUGCCAGCAGCCGCGGUAAUACGUAGGGUGCGAGCGUUAAUCGGAAUUACUGGGCGUAAAGGGUGCGCAGGCGGCUUUGUAAGUCAGAUGUGAAAUCCCCGGGCUUAACCUGGGAAUUGCGUUUGAAACUACAAAGCUAGAGU
rnacentral:rRNA from 1 species